UACAGAGUUCUCGAGCGUUAGGCGGAAUCACUGGGCUUAAAGCGUGUGUAGGCGGAUCGUUAAGUACCUUGUGAAAUCCCACGGCUUAACCGUGGAAUUGCUGGGUAUACUGGCGGUCUUGAGCCACUUAGGGGCUACCGGAACAAAUGGUGGAGCGGUGAAAUGCGUAGAUAUCAUUUGGAACGCCAAUGGUGAAAACAGGUAGCUGGGAGUGUGCUGACGCUGAGACACGAAAGCCAGGGGAGCAAACGGG
rnacentral:rRNA from 1 species